rnacentral:misc_RNA from 1 species
GGUGAUUUCUGUGAACAAAUAGGUUUACCACCUGUAACUUUUCCUCAUAAAAGGAAAGUUAAAGGGGGAAGGAGAGUAGUAAAAGGUAAAAAAUGGUUUAAAAAAUAUCCUAAAAAGGAAAAAAGUGAAUCCUAUUGUUAUAAUAAAUUAGAAUGUUUAGUUGUCAAUUUCAUACAAGUAUAUAUAUGAUAUCAUAUAAAUAGUAUAGAGGGUGAUAUCAUAUGAAAAGGAUGAUAUAAUAUCAUAUGAAU